rnacentral:ncRNA from 2 species
AAAAUAUAGUCGGGGAGCCUUUUAGGCUGAGAUUGCAUUUUUCGAGACCCGUUGAACCUGAUUCAGUUAACACUGACGUAGGGAACUAUACGUCUUGCUUU